rnacentral:rRNA from 1 species
CCUACGGGAGGCAGCAGUGGGGAAUUUUGGACAAUGGGGGCAACCCUGAUCCAGCCAUUCCGCGUGAGUGAAGAAGGCCUUCGGGUUGUAAAGCUCUUUCGCAAGGGAAGAAAACUUAUGAUCGAAUAAAUCAUGAGGUUGACGGUACCUUGAUAAGAAGCACCGGCUAACUACGUGCCAGCAGCCGCGGUAAUACGUAGGGUGCGAGCGUUAAUCGGAAUUACUGGGCGUAAAGCGUGCGCAGGCGGUUUUGUAAGUCGGAUGUGAAAUCCCCGGGCUCAACCUGGGAACUGCGUUCGAAACUGCAAGGCUAGAGUGUGUCAGAGGGGGGUAGAAUUCCACGUGUAGCAGUGAAAUGCGUAGAGAUGUGGAGGAAUACCAAUGGCGAAGGCAGCCCCCUGGGAUAACACUGACGCUCAUGCACGAAAGCGUGGGGAGCAAACAGGAUUAGAUACCCUGGUAGUCCACGCCCUAAACGAUGUCAACUAGUUGUUGGUAGAGUAAAACUCUAUGAGUAACGUAGCUAACGCGUGAAGUUGACCGCCUGGGGGAGGUACGGUCGCGAAGUAGUAAACGUUACGAAGGUAGUUAGAGGCGNGNGAGNGCGACGGACGACGACGAGGGAGGAGG